GAAGAUGAGCUCCAGGAGAUCUUACCAAUCCCUCCAGGCCAUUCUUAGGCACAUACAAUUUGGAAACUACUGGCCUGGGCCUUUUCUCCUGAUUUCCUGAUUGACAGCAUAGGGGCUAUCAAUCUUGGUUACACAGAUGCAGUCCAGCACCAAGGCUGGGAUUGGACCCAGGGAUCAGGUAUUUUAAGGCUCCCCAGGUAAUUUCAAUGUGCAGCCAAGCCUGAGACCCACUGAUUUGGAGCAAGAAUUUGAAUGAAGCAUUGUCCUCUGUAGGUUCUGGUCCCUCAAGAGAAGUUCUGAGCACACUUGUCCCUCGUACCCAUUCACCUACUGCUACCACUAUACAGUCGUUAACGUUGCUGAAAUCACUGACUAAAGGCAAGCAUCUCACCUGCUACUUAACAUUGGAGACAGCAUGGUGUUUCUUCAGCUAGGCAGGCGAGGGUGGAGAAGAAAAAAGAAUCUAUUCUUUCCCCCAGUCUCCUGCAAACUGUACUGCAAGAAAGCUGGUUCCUUCAUGUGAAGGCGGCCAUGGCUACCAGCAGCCCCAAAGGCACACCCUGUUAACAAUAAUGAGAAGAGACGCUUAACCUAUAUCAGGCACAAUUCUAGGCACUUCAGAGCCUGUGAGGCAACAAGAAAGAGAGAACAUGCUCUCCACUUCAAAUUUAGAAAAUCCAUAGACAAGCUCUAAAUUGAGCCAGCUUGGGUCACGUAUCCACCUGCUGAAAUAAUCACUGGGUCUAGAAC
ensembl:lncRNA